UACGUAGGUGGCAAGCGUUUGUCCGGAAUCAUUGGGCGUAAAGCGCGUGUAGGCGGCCCGGUAAGUCCGCUGUAAAAGUCCAGGGCUCAACCCUGGAAAGCCGGUGGAUACUGUCGGGCUAGAGUCCGGAAGAGGCGAGUGGAAUUCCUGGUGUAGCGGUGGAAUGCGCAGAUAUCAGGAGGAACACCGAUGGCGAAGGCAGCUCGCUGGGACGGUACUGACGCUAAGGCGCGAAAGCGUGGGGAGCGAACAGG
rnacentral:rRNA from 1 species